AGAGUUUGAUCCUGGCUCAGGAUGAACGCUAGCGGCAGGCUUAAUACAUGCAAGUCGUGGGGCAUCGCGGGUAGCAAUACCUGGCGGCGACCGGCAAACGGGUGCGGAACACGUACGCAACUUUCCUUUAAGCGGGGAAUAGCCCAGGGAAACUUGGAUUAAUACCCCAUAAUACAAUUGGGUGGCAUCACUUGAUUGUU
rnacentral:rRNA from 1 species